UCUAUCACCAUCAGAGAGAGCACGGCCCUGCUGACACCUUGAUUUCAGACUUCUAGCCUCCAGACCUGUGAGACAAUCAAUUGCUAUUGUUUUAAUCACCCAAUUUUUGGUACUUUGUUAUGGGAGCCCUGGGAA
rnacentral:miRNA from 1 species